GGACGAACGCUGGCGGCGUGCCUAACACAUGCAAGUCGAGCGAGGAGAUCCUUCGGGAUGAUCCUAGCGGCGGACGGGUGAGUAACACGUGGGCAACCUGCCUCAUAGAGAGGAAUAGCCUUCCGAAAGGGAGAUUAAUACCUCAUAACAUUGCAGUUUCGCAUGGAACAGCAAUUAAAGGAGCAAUCCGCUAUGAGAUGGGCCCCGCGGCGCAUUAGCUAGUUGGUGAGGUAACGGCUCACCAAGGCGACGAUGCGUAGCCGACCUGAGAGGGUGAUCGGCCACAUUGGGACUGAGACACGGCCCAGACUCCUACGGGAGGCAGCAGUGGGGAAUAUUGCACAAUGGGGGAAACCCUGAUGCAAGCAACGCCGCGUGAGUGAUGACGGCCUUCGGGUUGUAAAGCUCUGUCUUCAGGGACGAUAAUGACGGUACCUGAGGAGGAAGCCACGGCUAACUACGUGCCAGCCGCAGC
rnacentral:rRNA from 1 species